UUAGCCCCUAUCUAACACUUUGAAAUCCUCUAUUAAAACCAUUCAAUCACAGAUAUUUGUUAAGGAAUUUCAUUUGACUUUACGGAAUUUUGGAUCAGCUGCCUGUUAAUUAUUGCUGCUGAGUUUCCUGUUGACAGUGGGUGGUCCUCUGACAGGAGGCUAAUAGAAAGCUCCUGAUUAAGGCCCAUACUGCUUCCCAUUCUCUGCAGAAAGAGUUGAACAGCGUUAAUUUCCGUGAGUGCCAAUUCCUGUAGCGCUGCGUCAAUCCUGCCUUGUCCUCAGACAGCCCCCUCGCCACAAGUUGAGAACACAAACUGUUUUAAGGUGAUGGUGACCAAACACACACCUUCUUCCUCCCGCUCACCAACCAGGACGGGGUUUUGCUCGGAGCAGUUGGUGCGUAUGACUGGAACGGAGCCGUUGUGAAGGAGAGUGCCCAGGGUAACAUCAUCACAUCGAGAGAGGCCCUGAACCGGGAGUUUCCCAAAGCCUUGAAGAACCACGCAGCCUACCUCGGCUAUACGGUGUCGUCUGUGAGGCAGAGGAAUGGUCAACGUGUCUAUGUGGCAGGCGCUCCGAGAUUCAAACACAAAGGCAAGGUCAUCUUCUUCAAUCUGGACAAAGGUGGCAAUCUGACCAUACACCAGGCCCUGAUCGGAGAACAGAUUGGAUCCUACUUUGGGAGUGAGGUUUGCCCAGUGGAUGUGAAUGGUGAUGGUGUGACAGACGUGCUGUUGGUCGCAGCACCCAUGUACCUUGGAGCCAGCAGCAAGGAGACUGGGAAAGUCUACGUUUACAGAGUA